CCGGCGACCGGCGCACGGGUGAGUAACACGUAUGCAACCUGGCCGUGACAGAUGGAUAACCGGGAGAAAUCCCGCCUAAUACAACAUAAUGCCGGGAGGGGACAUCCCCUGCCGGCCAAAGGGGGCGACCCCGGUCACGGAUGGGCAUGCGGCGCAUUAGGUAGUUGGUGGGGCAACGGCCCACCAAGCCGACGAUGCGUAGGGGUUCUGAGAGGAAGGCCCCCCACACUGGUACUGAGACACGGACCAGACUCCUACGGGAGGCAGCAG
rnacentral:rRNA from 1 species